rnacentral:lncRNA from 1 species
GGGUCUCAAACCAGGUACAAGGAUCUCAAACCAGGUAAAGGAUCUCAAACCAGGUAAAGGAUCUCAAACCAGGUAAAGGAUCUCAAACCAGGUAAAGGAUCUCAAACCAGAUAAAGGAUCUCAAACCAGAUAAAGGAUCUCCAACCAGAUAAAGGAUCUCCAACCAGGUAAAGGAUCUCCAACCAGGUAAAGGGUCUCAAACAAGGUAAAGGAUCUCCAACCAGGUAAAGGAUCUCCAACCAGGUAAAGGAUCUCCAACCAGGUAAGG